CCAGGCUUGAACAGCGAGUGACCACUCCCGAAAGGGAGCUUCCGCAAGGACACUCGUAGAGGUGCUGCAUGGCUGUCGUCAGCUCGUGUCGUGAGAUGUUGGGUUAAGUCCCGCAACGAGCGCAACCCUUGUCUUCUGUUGCCAUCAGGUUAAGCUGGGCACUCUGGAGAGACUGCCGGUGAUAAACCGGAGGAAGGUGGGGAUGACGUCAAGUCAGCAUGGCCUUUAUGUCUGGGGCUACACACGUGCUACAAUGGCCGGCACAAACCGUCGCGAGCCCGCGAGGGGGAGCUAAUCGGAGAAAGUCGGUCUCAGUUCGGAUCGUAGGCUGCAACUCGCCUGCGUGAAGUUGGAAUCGCUAGGUAAUCGCGGAUCAGCACGCCGCGGUGAAUACGUUCCCGGGGCCUGGUACACACCGCCCGUCACAUCACGAAAGCCGGUUGUACUAGAAGUCGCCGCACCAACCCGCAAGGGAGGGAGGCGCCUAAGG
rnacentral:rRNA from 1 species